AUAACGGGUCGAUGCCAUUACAUCCCACACAGGAGCUGGUGGACAGAGGUACUUUGGCCUCGGAGAAAUAUAAAAUGUCGCUGUCAGUCGGUCGGGUCGCUGAGAGACGGGACCAGGAGUCAGCUCGAAUAAUGAUGACAAUAUGAUGCUGCAGCUCAGCUCAGGGCCAGGUCAAGCAAAGCACCCCAGACAUCCCUCUGACUAGCAACGCUUUCCAGCUAGGGGCCCCCGAGGUGUUCCCAGGCCAGAUGAGAUAUGUAGACCCUCCAGCGUGUUCUGGGUCUACUCCGGGGCCGCCUACCAGUGGGACGUGCCCGGAGCACCUCUAACAGGAGGCGCCCAGGAGGCAUCCUGAUCAGAUGCCCAGACCACCUCAACUGACCCCCUUCAACGUGAUGGAUGAGCUCAGCCACCCCACAUGAGGAUACAUUGAGAAGACUGUUUGACCUGACUCAUCAUGGAGGAGCUCCCAGGCUGAAACACAACAUGUGACAGAGAUGCCCUGUCUGAACAUGGGACUGUUGAUCCUCAUGAGUAGAAACACAGAGAGCAUUUGAGGAAAUGUGUUUCAUGGGGAAGUGCAGUGAUGCACGCACACCGGCCAAAAGAAACACAGUUGCCACGACUGACUUCCGGACUGUGAGGGCCCGAGGUUGCUAGUCUGUGUUGGAUACAGUCAGACACCAUGCGAAAACCAGGUCUCAUUUCUGCUGAAUGACUGGAUGAGUGCUUCAGUCAGCUUCAUCCAACUGUACAGGAAUGAGUACAACAAUGAUGGUACACUUGGAAAUAUGAGAUGCUGCUCUGACAGCAGUCCUGUUGGUUUUGUAUUGAUUUUAUUCUGUUUUCUAAAUU